CUUGAAACCAUCAGUGUUACGGUUCAGAGUGCGAUAGGCAGUGGGCGUUAACCUCCAGCAGCAACUAAAACCAUGCUAAAACUCCUCUUCUCCAGCUUCUAAAGUUAGGCUGAGUACAACCCAGCCUAUAAAUCUCUAGUGUUCAUCAUUUGGAACCACAUUAGUUGUGAAUUUGUCCAAGUUUGAGUUUCAAGACGACCCUACAACACUUUUAUAUGCCUUGAAGACCCAAAUUCCAACAUCAUCAGGCAAAUACAUGAAAGAAAUAACUUCAGAAAGAUUAUGGGAUCCCUAUAUAAGUUAAAAAGUCAUAAAAGAACAAGAAAGUUUUUUCGUAGUUUUUUUGUUUUUGUAACUUUUCUAUAAAAGCUUCAUUUCAGUUUAUAUUUCACAAAAAUGUCAUAAAUAUCACAUAAUAAUGGCCAAUAGACAGUUGAUAUUUCCAAAUGGCCAACAGGCAUAAUAAUUAUAAUUUUGUCUUUAUAGAGCCUAUAGUGUCUUAGGUGAGAUCCAGAGGAGAGUUUUGCUCAAUCUGGCUGAUGCUACAAGCUCUCUCCUACAGCAUGUAUGCAGGAACGAUCACAUUUGCUGCUCAUCAGCCCUGUCUUCUGUCUUUACCAUUAUUUUAUGCCUAACUGACGAAAAUACACAAAAGGCUGAACAUAAAAUAGUUAAAAUUUUUUUACGGACUGGCUUUUUGGUGCACAAUUAGCCUCGAUUCCAAGCCGCUGAGAAAGGCGCACUAUUCAAGGGGCUGGAGUCGAGGCUAGUGCACAAUGCAACUUGAACAUGCUGGUACAUGGUAAAAUAAUGCAAUGUCAACAAAAAAAAGGACUUUGACCUCAAAUAAUGGCUGACAUCAGUAGGACAGGAGUAGUUGGGCGUGGCCCCACCCUGGAUGCGCCUACGUUCGCGUCCAGGGUGGGACCACGCCCAACUAAUUGAACAUGGAUUCACACUCCACAAGUCGGCCUUCUAAGAUGCCCUAGCACUACGCUAUGGCUAUGGCUGGACCCCAACUCGCUUGCCCUCCAAAUGCGACUGUGGCAAAAACUUCAAUGUGGAGCAUGCUCUCUCCUGUGCCAAAGGAGGGUUUCCUACGUUAAGGCAUAAUGAAAUAAGAGAUACCACAGCAUCCCUUCUCACGGAAGUAUGCAGUGAAGUGUGUGUAGAGCCCAACCUACAACCUGUGAGCGCGGACCAACUCAACGGGGCCUCAGCGAACAGCCAAGAAAACGCACGUUUGGAUAUAUCGGCCAAUGGUGUCUGGGGGGGAAGAUUCCAAAAAACAUACUUUGAUAUGAGUGUUUAACCCCCUCGCCCCCUCCAGCAGAAACCAGUCACAUGCAGCAACAUACAGAAAACACGAACUGGAAAAGAAACUGGCUUAUCAGCAAAGAGUCCAGGAACUUGAACACUCCUCUUUCACACCGUUAGUUUUAUCCGUUACAGGAGGCAUGGGCGUAGAAGCAUCACUCUUCUACAAACGCCUGAGCUCACUACUUGCCCAGAAAUGGGACAUCACCUACAAUAAAACUCUAUGCUGGCUAAGAUAUCGCCUAACGUUCUCCCUCCUACGCUCAGCCAUCCAAGCAAUUAGAGGCGCUAGAUCGUCGGUGGGACAUGCAGCCAGGACACCCAUUGAGAUCGACCUGAUCUCAGCAGAAUCCCAUCUCACAGGAUAGUAAUUAAUAUUAACAAUAAUUAUCUACUAUUUUACACGUACCCUUGUCAUACAUGCCAUUCCUAUAAUAUAUUUAUUUUUACCCCACUUGGGCCUGAAAAAAAAAAUUGAGGAGGUCCUCCGAGAUGUGCUGCCUGGAAUUGUUAUUAUGCCUCGAGGCGUAGCCGCACGAGGGAUACCGUAAAGCUGACUGUGUGUGUGUCUGUUCCAGCUGUAACUGCUCAACGGUUGCAAUGCGACGAAAGCUAACAGCUUCUAUAGGCUUCUAGCCACGUUCUCUUGGAUUUUGAUUCGUGGAUUAGCAAACUAAAGCUUCUUUCUCGAGUUAUGGCUAGUUUGACUCACAUUGAAGGCUGUUGCAGUCUCUUCAGAAUCUUUCAUAGCAUCAUCAGUCCGCACAAACUUUCUAUUCAACAUAUGAGUUAGCCUUGCACUAAAGCGCUAGCUUUUUGUUAGCUACAAUACUCAGAAAAUAUCUAGCAGUAGCCAUUUGUGAAAUUGAUCUCUUUGGACACACCCGUUAAUUAUUCCUAUGGAUGUAAUGCGCAUGCGCGCUCAUUCCGAUCCAGUGGCAGAAUCAUCUUUGUCUGAAGGCCUGGUAAGCCACAAAACACUACCAUAUAACAAUAUAGAUAACAAUAUGCAUGUACACAGGUCUUUUCUUCUUAGAUAUUUUAUACACUGAACUACAGAUCCUGGAAGAAUCAAUUUUCUUCUUUCUUGAGGUCCUGGUAAGCCACAUAGAUUUAAUACAACAAUAGAUGCAUGUAAAUAAGUCUUUUCUUCUCAGUGACUUUAUAUAGAUAAACUAACUUUAAUAUAAAAUUCAUUAUAGAAACUAAUAUAACACUCUAAUACUUUUCAGCGAAAGCAAAAACAUGGCGAGAGGCAUUAGCACAGCGCCAGCUUGAACACUAGUUAUUGCCAAACGAAGAGAAAAGGAAGCAGAGAGACUGUCUUUGUAUCCAGCACCAGUACUAAAAUCAAAACAAAAAGAUCUCAUUCCAUCUACUGCCUCUGAUUCUGAAACAGAAAUUGAACAUGAUGUUCCAUUCUCCCACCAACUCAACACUGGUAGUGGCUUUGGUACUGAGAAUACACUUCCUAUUUCUGAGCAGAAUAUUGGGGUCACUGUGAGCGAAGAAAAGGAUAUGCAAACGCUCAGCAAAGACCAAAUUCAAGGUGAUGAAGUGCAAGCCCUGAGUAGAAUGGAUGGCGAUAGGGGUAAAGAGAACCCAACACCAAACGGGGAGUUGCUAUCUGAUGUGAAUAAUGGCAGCAGAGAUGUUGUGUGUGGAGAAAAAGAAGAUGUAUAUCUGUCUAUUGUUCAGUAACCCUCAACAAUCAACCAUUUAGUGAUAGAGAAACUGAUGUGAUGUGUACAUGAAGUAUCAAAUUAUAAAUUGUUACGUAGCCUUUACUUACGAAAUCAUUAUGUUUCCCUGCUGUCAUUUGAAAACAUUGA